UAAUACGUAGGGCGCAAGCGUUGUCCGGAAUUAUUGGGCGUAAAGAGCUCGUAGGCGGCUUGUCACGUCGGGUGUGAAAGCCCGGGGCUUAACCCCGGGUCUGCAUUCGAUACGGGCUAGCUAGAGUGUGGUAGGGGAGAUCGGAAUUCCUGGUGUAGCGGUGAAAUGCGCAGAUAUCAGGAGGAACACCGGUGGCGAAGGCGGAUCUCUGGGCCAUUACUGACGCUGAGGAGCGAAAGCAUGGGGAGCGAACAGGAUUAGAUACCCUGGUAGUCCACGCCGUAAACGGUGGGAACUAGGUGUUGGCGACAUUCCACGUCGUCGGUGCCGCAGCUAACGCAUUAAGUUCCCCGCCUGGGGAGUACGGCCGCAAGGC
rnacentral:rRNA from 1 species